rnacentral:tRNA from 1 species
UCCCUGGUGGUCCAGUGGUUAAGACUCUGAGCUUCCAAUGCAGAAGACAUGGGUUCAAGCCCUGGUCAAGGAA